AGAACAUGAACACACAUGUGUAUUUUACUUCUCUGUGGAUUUGCUUCAUCACAAGGAGCACAGAAUAUAACAUAUACAUGCAUGCAGCGGAGGGAUGGCCCGCUUCGUCUUUAUCAGUCCUCUCCUCCCACAACACACACUACUGUUCUAGAUUUGCUGGCGACGAGCACAGUUGUGUGUUCAAUUUUUUUUCUUUGUUCUUUAUUAUUGCUAAUAACGUAGUACGUACUCCAAUCUAGCGUCGACGUCGAACCGAUGCGCGCGCGGGAAAUAGUGGCGCACCAUCAGCGCUCGCGCGGAGCACGAGCAGCGAUCGACGGUCGAAGCAGGGCCCGGCGGCCGACGGCGUCACAGGUUCAUGAGGCGCAGCCUGGAGGGGCGCGGCUGGAAGUCGCCGACCCCGACACCGCGGCGGCGGUGGUGGCGGCCGGGCUCGCGCCGGAUGCCGCCGAUCCUCUGGAGCAGCAGCGCGCGCACGGACCGCGCCCUGGUGGCGCCGGGCACCGCCUCGGCGCCGUCCGGCGCGGUUCGGUGCCGACUGCAGCGGAACGACCCCGGGUGGCUCGUCGGCGAGCAGAGGCACGCCAUUUUCUUGUUGGCGGCGCCGGCAGGUCUCGGGAUUCUGGCGGUGUCGGGGGAAGGGCCAGAGCACGGCGCGGAGGGCAUAUGGUUGCUAUAGGGUGCUCGACUGCUCCCUGUGGUGGCCGUGGCCG
rnacentral:misc_RNA from 1 species